UCCGGGGUAGCUCAACAGGAAGAGCAGCGGACUGUUAAUCCGAAGGUUUGCGGGUUCGAGCCCCGCCCCCGGAGCCA
rnacentral:tRNA from 1 species